GACGAACGCUGGCGGCGUGCCUAAUACAUGCAAGUCGAGCGCAGGAAACUGACGGAACUCUUCGGAGGGAAGGCAGUGGAAUGAGCGGCGGACGGGUGAGUAACACGUAAGGAACCUGCCUCAAGGAUUGGGAUAACUCCGAGAAAUCGGAGCUAAUACCGGAUAGUUCAACGGACCGCAUGGUCCGCUGAUGAAAGGCGCUCCGGCGUCACCUUGAGAUGGCCUUGCGGUGCAUUAGCUAGUUGGUGGGGUAACGGCCCACCAAGGCGACGAUGCAUAGCCGACCUGAGAGGGUGAUCGGCCACACUGGGACUGAGACACGGCCCAGACUCCUACGGGAGGCAGCAGUAGGGAAUCUUCCACAAUGGACGAAAGUCUGAUGGAGCAACGCCGCGUGAGUGAUGAAGGUUUUCGGAUCGUAAAACUCUGUUGUAAGGGAGUAACACGUACGAGAGGGAAUGCUCGUACCUCGACGGUACCUUACGAGAAAGCCACGGCUAACUACGUGCCAGCAGCCGCGGUAAAAC
rnacentral:rRNA from 1 species